rnacentral:rRNA from 1 species
GAUGAACGCUAGCUACAGGCUUAACACAUGCAAGUCGAGGGGCAGCGCAGUGUAGCAAUACACGGGCGGCGACCGGCGCACGGGUGCGUAACGCGUAUCCAACCUUCCCGUUACUCAGGGAUAGCCUUCCGAAAGGGAGAUUAAUACCUGAUGGUGUUUGAAUUCCGCAUGUUAUUCAAACUAAAGAUUUAUCGGUAACGGAUGGGGAUGCGUGACAUUAGAUAGUAGGCGGGGUAACGGCCCACCUAGUCUACGAUGUCUAGGGGUUCUGAGAGGAAGGUCCCCCACACUGGAACUGAGACACGGUCCAGACUCCUACGGGAGGCAGCAGUGAGGAAUAUUGGUCAAUGGUCGGAAGACUGAACCAGCCAAGUAGCGUGAAGGAUGAAGGUUCUAUGGAUUGUAAACUUCUUUUAUACGGGAAUAAAGCCCACUACGUGUAGUGGUUUGUAUGUACCGUAUGAAUAAGCAUCGGCUAACUCCGUGCCAGCCGCCGCAGUAAAAC